rnacentral:rRNA from 1 species
UACCAGCACCCCGAGUGGUCGGGACGAUUAUUGGGCCUAAAGCAUCCGUAGCCGGUUCUACAAGUCUUCCGUUAAAUCCACCUGCUUAACAGAUGGGCUGCGGAGGAUACUAUAGAGCUAGGAGGCGGGAGAGGCAAGCGGUACUUAGUGGGUAGGGGUAAAAUCCGUUGAUCCAUUGAAGACCACCAGUGGCGAAGGCGGCUUGCCAGAACGCACUCGACGGUGAGGGAUGGAAGCUGGGGGAGCAAACCGG